UCGUAACAAGGUUUCCGUAGGUGAACCUGCGGAAGGAUCAUUACAGAAUGAAAAGUGCUUAACUGCAUUUUUUCUUACACAUGUGUUUUUCUUUUUUUGAAAACUUUGCUUUGGUAGGCCUUCUAUAUGGGGCCUGCCAGAGAUUAAACUCAACCAAAUUUUAUUUAAUGUCAACCGAUUAUUUAAUAGUCAAAACUUUCAACAACGGAUCUCUUGGUUCUCGCAUCGAUGAAGAACGCAGCGAAAUGCGAUAAGUAAUAUGAAUUGCAGAUAUUCGUGAAUCAUCGAAUCUUUGAACGCACAUUGCGCCCUUUGGUAUUCCAAAGGGCAUGCCUGUUUGAGCGUCAUUUCUCCCUCAAACCCUCGGGUUUGGUGUUGAGCGAUACGCUGGGUUUGCUUGAAAGAAAGGCGGAGUAUAAACUAAUGGAUAGGUUUUUUCCACUCAUUGGUACAAACUCCAAAACUUCUUCCAAAUUCGACCUCAAAUCAGGUAGGACUACCCGCUGAACUUAAGCAUAUCAAUAAGCGGAGGAA
rnacentral:misc_RNA from 1 species